rnacentral:rRNA from 1 species
GGAAUAUUGGACAAUGGGGGGAACCCUGAUCCAGCCAUGCCGCGUGUGUGAAGAAGGCCUUUUGGUUUUAAAGCACUUUAAGCGAGGAGGAGGAGCCCUUGGUUAAUACCCACGAUGCUUGGCCUUUACUCCCAGAAUAAGCACCGGCUACCUCUGUGCCAGCAGCCGCGGUAUUACAGAGGGUGCAAGCGUUAAUUGGUGUUACUGGGCGUAAAGCGCGCGGAGGGGGGCAAGUAAGUCAAAUGUGAAAUCCCCGAGCUUAACUUGGGAAUUGGAUUCGAUACUGGUUGGCUAGAGUAUGGGAGAGGAUGGUAGAAUUCCAGGUGGAGCGGUGAAAUGCGUAGAGAUCUGGAGGAAUACCGAUGGCGAAGGCAGCCAUCUGGCCUAAUACUGACACUGAGGUGCGAAAGCAUGGGGAGCAAACA